UAAAGGUCUUAGUAUGACUAAAACUUGAAGUAUGGUGUAUGACACCAUAUAAUUUAAAUGAAUAGACUUAAUGGAACAAGUCACACAUUUCAAAUGGAAUUACUUGAGAAGGAAUUCUUUUGUGUGUGAUUCAUUUAAGUUAGUGGGAGCAAUAUGCAUUCAAAUCAAGAAAAUAUAAUUGUUAUUUUUGAAUGAAUUCUAAGUUACAACAAGGCCAGUGGGAGUGAUGUCAUAAUUUGAGCAACAAGAUGUGAAUAAAGUCUAUUAGAUAGACUUGAUAAAACAUAGAUGUUGCUCGAGAAAUGACAAAACAUGACACGGUCAAUUUUGAAGUAUAGACUUGAAAUUGGACUUAUUGAUAUAGCAAGGCUAUCUCAAUAAUGUUAUAUGGGAAUUAAAUCUCAAAUGUUGUAGAUUUAAGAAAGCAUUUUCCUAUGUGAUAGGAAAUCACUUUCAUAAUCCUUAUAAUGAAUGUGUCAUAAAAUCACAAAAGGGACACAUGUAUUGACUUGUGAAGUAGAUAUCCAAAAGUGAAGAACCACAGGGGUUGUCACUUUAAGAUAUUACUAUAUCCCAGGAUCAGAACCAAAGCAACUGAAAAAGUAUUAUUGCCUUUAAGAAAGAAACAUCAGAGUGGGACUCUAGAAGCGUGCAUUCACUUAGGUUGUUAACCAAAGUGAAAAUUGAAGGAUUAUUUUGUGAAAACAUGUUCAUUUGAAUAACAUCUAUAGCAUGCAUUUAACAAUUAAAAG
rnacentral:lncRNA from 1 species